GAUGAACGCUGGCGGCGUGCCUAAUACAUGCAAGUCGAGCGAACAGACGAGGAGCUUGCUCCUCUGACGUUAGCGGCGGACGGGUGAGUAACACGUGGAUAACCUACCUAUAAGACUGGGAUAACUUCGGGAAACCGGAGCUAAUACCGGAUAAUAUAUUCAACCGCAUGGUUCAAUAGUGAAAGACGGUUUUGCUGUUACUUAUAGAUGGAUCCGCGCCGCAUUAGCUAGUUGGUAAGGUAACGGCUUACCAAGGCAACGAUGCGUAGCCGACCUGAGAGGGUGAUCGGCCACACUGGAACUGAGACACGGUCCAGACUCCUACGGGAGGCAGCAGUAGGGAAUCUUCCGCAAUGGGCGAAAGCCUGACGGAGCAACGCCGCGUGAGUGAUGAAGGUCUUCGGAUCGUAAAACUCUGUUAUUAGGGAAGAACAAAUGCGUAAGUAACUAUGCACGUCUUGACGGUACCUAAUCAGAAAGCCCCGGCUAACUACGUG
rnacentral:rRNA from 1 species